CGACGUGAGGAACCUGCCUCAAAGAGGGGGACAACAGUUGGAAACGACUGCUAAUACCGCAUAAGCCCACGGUGCCGCAUGGCACAGAGGGAAAAGGAGCAAUCCGCUUUGAGAUGGCCUCGCGUCCGAUUAGCUAGUUGGUGAGGUAAAGGCUCACCAAGGCGACGAUCGGUAGCUGGUCUGAGAGGACGACCAGCCACACUGGGACUGAGACACGGCCCAG
rnacentral:rRNA from 1 species